rnacentral:rRNA from 1 species
UACAGAGGUGCCGAGCGUUAGGCGGAAUCACUGGGCUUAAAGCGUGUGUAGGCGGAUGCCUAAGUACCUUGUGAAAUCCCACGGCUUAACCGUGGAACUGCUCGGUAUACUGGGUGUCUUGAGCCACUUAGGGGUUACCGGAACAAAUGGUGGAGCGGUGAAGUGCGUAGAUAUCAUUUGGAACGCCAAUGGUGAAAACAGGUAACUGGGAGUGUGCUGACGCUGAGACACGAAAGCCAGGGGAGCGAACGGGG